rnacentral:rRNA from 1 species
AACGAACGCUGGCGGCAUGCCUAAUACAUGCAAGUCGAACGAGAUCUUCGGAUCUAGUGGCGCACGGGUGCGUAACGCGUGGGAAUCUGCCCUUGGGUUCGGAAUAACAUCGGGAAACUGAUGCUAAUACCGGAUGAUAUCGAAAGAUCAAAGAUUUAUCGCCCAGGGAUGAGCCCGCGUAGGAUUAGCUAGUUGGUGGGGUAAAGGCUCACCAAGGCGACGAUCCUUAGCUGGUCUGAGAGGAGGAUCAGCCACACUGGGACUGAGACACGGCCCAGACUCCUACGGGAGGCAGCAGUAGGGAAUAUUGGACAAUGGGGGCAACCCUGAUCCAGCAAUGCCGCGUGAGUGAUGAAGGCCUUAGGGUUGUAAAGCUCUUUUACCCGGGAUGAUAAUGACAGUACCGGGAGAAUAAGCCCCGGCUAACUCCGUGCCAGCCGCCGCCGUAAAAC